rnacentral:rRNA from 1 species
UACAGAGGGUGCAAGCGUUGUUCGGAAUCAUUGGGCGUAAAGGGCGUGUAGGCGGUCUGUUAAGUCAUGUGUGAAAUCCCUCGGCUUAACCGGGGAACUGCGUCUGAUACUGGAUGGCUUGAGUUUGGGAGAGGGAUGCGGAAUUCCAGGUGUAGCGGUGAAAUGCGUAGAUAUCUGGAGGAACACCGGUGGCGAAGGCGGCAUCCUGGACCAACACUGACGCUGAGUGAGCGAAAGCCAGGGGAGCAAACGGG